rnacentral:lncRNA from 1 species
GAGUGUAGAGAUACUGGUAUGGCAUACAGGUGAGAUGUAAGGGUACAUCUACACUGAAUAUGACCGACUCCAGAGCUUUUUCUGCUGUCAAGAUUUGCUCCGACGGGAUAUGGGUAUAACUGUCCCUCCGAUCUGAGACUGCCACAGUGACUUGCAAGCAACUCACUGCACUUAGGCACUGGACUACCUGAAUUUCUAAUUCAAUGACGGAAGGCUGCUGGAUGUAGUCAAGUAC